rnacentral:rRNA from 1 species
UACAGAGGGGGCAAGCGUUGUUCGGAAUUACUGGGCGUAAAGGGCGUGUAGGCGGCCUGCUAAGUCGAACGUGAAAUCCCCGGGCUCAACUCGGGAACUGCGUCCGAUACUGGUGGGCUUGAAUCCGGGAGAGGGAUGUGGAAUUCCAGGUGUAGCGGUGAAAUGCGUAGAUAUCUGGAGGAACACCGGUGGCGAAGGCGGCAUCCUGGACCGGUAUUGACGCUGAGACGCGAAAGCUAGGGGAGCAAACGGG